CUGUGGUUCAACAGUGCUUUCUCACUUUCUCUUCUCAGUGUUCACACCUGGAGGUGAUAACAGGAUGACCAGCAAGAGGUUGUGUGCUGGAAAAAGGGGUCACUUGGGCCAGUGAACCAAAGAUGGGCUGCCAAAACCCUAAUCUAGGCAUUGAGGAAAGAUUUAAUGAGGGCUCUGGGGCUGCAGAGGCCUCCUGUUUAAGGCUGAGGAUGGGUCCAAAGCUGGUGAUGCUCAGUGCAGAAGCAGAAGGCACUGAGUGAAGGCUGAGUGACCUCUCCAGAAGGAUGAGAAGCAAUGGAAGGUGAGACUGAGCCUGAAUGGAAGGAAGAUUCAGAUAAGGCUGAAGAGGAAGAGAAUGUGGAGGAAGAGGUGGAGAAUGUGUUUUAUUUCUCACUGGAGCCGUGUGUGGCCACCAGGACAAGCUGUGGCUGCAGUUUCUGGACACGGCCAAACACGAGGGAGAAUGAAAGGUUGUGUCACCUUUGCUUGAUCUGCAAGUGAUUUUGUGCCAAAUCAAAUCAGAACCUCACCACAGCAGCAAAAACUCCUGUCCACCUGUUGGUGAAGCUGCAUCUUCCCAAUCAAUGUCUUUGCAGAGGCAGUUUUUGUUUUUGUUUGCUUGUGUUUUGUUUUUUUUU
rnacentral:lncRNA from 1 species